rnacentral:rRNA from 1 species
GACGAACGCUGGCGGCGUGCUUAACACAUGCAAGUCGAACGGAUCAGGGGAGCUUGCUUUCCUGGUUAGUGGCGAACAGGUGAGUAACACGUGAGCAAUCUGCCCUUGACUCUGGGAUAACUGCGGGAAACUGUAGCUAAUACCGGAUAUGACAGCCGACGGCAUCGUCUGGUUGUGGAAAGAAUUUCGGUCAGGGAUGAGCUCGCGGCCUAUCAGCUUGUUGGUGAGGUAAUGGCUCACCAAGGCGACGACGGGUAGCCGGCCUGAGAGGGUGACCGGCCACACUGGGACUGAGACACGGCCCAGACUCCUACGGGGGGCUGCAGUAACGAACCUUGCGCAAUGGACGAAAGACCUGACGCAGCCACGCCGCGUGAGU